rnacentral:tRNA from 1 species
GCCUGCGUAGCUCAGCGGUAGAGCGGCUCCACUUGUGGGUGGUCAGGGGUUCAAAUCCCCUCGCAGGCA